UACGUAGGGGGCGAGCGUUGUCCGAAGUUACUGGGCGUAAAGCGCACGUAGGCGGCCCGAUUCGUUGCAUCUAAAAGGCGGCAGCUCAACUGCCGAGUGUGGUGCAAGACGGUCGGGCUUGAGGCAAGCAGAAGAGUGUGGAACUCCGAGUGUAGCGGUGGAAUGCGUAGAGAUUCGGAAGAACACCCAAGGCGAAGGCAGCACUCUGGGCUUGUAUAUUGUUGUUUGUAAAGAAGCAGGCUUCGGUCUGUUGAUGAACAAACGGCACCUGACGCUGAGGAGCGAAAGCCAGGGGAGCAAACGGG
rnacentral:rRNA from 1 species